GAUGAAGAACGUAGCGAAAUGCGAUAAGUAAUGUGAAUUGCAGAAUUCAGUUAAUCAUCGAAUCUUUGAACGCACAUUGCGCCCAUUAGUAUUCUAGUGGGCAUGCCUGUUCGAGCGUCAUUAAGUCCACUUAAGCCCUGCUUAGUGUUGGGAGACUGCUCCAGCGGUGCUACCCUGUAGCUACCCUGCAGCUCCUCAAAGACAGCGGCGGAGUUGUGGUAUCCUCUGAGCUUAGUAACUUGUUCUAGCUUUCGAGUACACCACUUCCCCUGCCGUAAAACCCUUAAUUUUUAAUGGUUGACCUCGGAUCAGGUAGGAAUACCCGCUGAACUUAAGCAUAUCAAUAAGCGGAGGA
rnacentral:misc_RNA from 1 species